GAUGAACGCUGGCGGCGUGCCUAACACAUGCAAGUCGAACGAAGCGUUUCAUUGGAAGUUUUCGGAUGGAAGAUGAAAUGACUGAGUGGCGGACGGGUGAGUAACGCGUGGGUAACCUGCCCCAUACAGGGGGACAACAGUUAGAAAUGACUGCUAAUACCGCAUAAGCGCACGAGGACGCAUGCUCUUGUGUGAAAAACUGGGGUGGUAUGGGAUGGACCGGCGUCUGAUUAGCUAGUUGGCAGGGUAAAGGCCUACCAAGGCGACGAUCAGUAGCCGGCCUGAGAGGGUGGACGGCCACAUUGGGACUGAGACACGGCCCAAACUCCUACGGGAGGCAGCAGUGGGGAAUAUUGCACAAUGGGGGAAACCCUGAUGCAGCGACGCCGCGUGAGCGAAGAAGUAUUUCGGUAUGUAAAGCUCUAUCAGCAGGGAAGAAAAUGACGGUACCUGACUAAGAAGCUCCGGCUAAAUACGUGCCAGCCGCCGCCGUAAUAC
rnacentral:rRNA from 1 species